UCUGUGUGCCUACAGUUUGUCACACCUGUUUAACCUCCUCCUUUAAUAUUAUUCUGUAUUUGCUUUAUGUCCUCAGAUAGGAGCCAUCUUUAUUUUAUUCAUAAUUGAGUUUUUGGUUUGGUGUUCUUGUUCAGUAGUUUUACUUUCAGCUUCUGCGUUUUCCAGUUUUUCCAAUCAUUUCAGAUUGUUUUGGCUUUUUUAAGAGCACAUGGCAGCGGUGAAGCUCGACUCUUGACCUGAAGAGGACAAGGGUGGACUGACAACAGUAUGGCUGACAGCUGCUGGAAGAUGAUAGAAGGCUCCCCUUCUCAAAUCCGACACUCUGCCUCUGCCUCAUUACAGUCCAACACAUCAUGACGCGGUUGCUCUAUG
rnacentral:lncRNA from 1 species